UCCCCGUUAUCCGAGGCGGUUUCGUCAGAGUGCUCAACUAAAUGGUAGCAACUGAAGAUAAGGGUUGCGCUCGUUGCGGGACUUAACCCAACAUCUCACGACACGAGCUGACGACAGCCAUGCAGCACCUAUAUAGCGGUCUAUUGCUAGACGCCGACGUUUCUACCGCUGUCCACUGCGCUUCGAGCCCAGGUAAGGUUCUUCGCGUUGCGUCGAAUUGAACCACAUGCUCCACCGCUUGUGCGGGCCCCCGUCAAUUCCUUUGAGUUUCAGCCUUGCGGCCGUACUCCCCAGGCGGGGCACUUAUCGCGUUAGCUGCGGCACCGACGGGGUCGCUCCCCCCGGCACCUAGUGCCCAUCGUUUACGGCGUGGACUAC
rnacentral:misc_RNA from 1 species